rnacentral:tRNA from 1 species
AGAGAGGUGGCCGAGUGGCUGAAGGCGCACGCUUGGAAAGCGUGUAUGCGUUAAUAGCGUAUCGAGGGUUCGAAUCCCUUUCUCUCUGCAA